GAUGAACGCUGGCGGCGUGCUUAACACAUGCAAGUCGAACGAUGAAGCCCAGCUUGCUGGGUGGAUUAGUGGCGAACGGGUGAGUAACACGUGAGUAACCUGCCCUUAACUCUGGAUAAGCCUGGGAAACUGGGUCUAAUACCGGAUAGGAGCGUCCACCGCAUGGUGGGUGUUGGAAAGAUUUAUCGGUUUUGGAUGGACUCGCGGCCUAUCAGCUUGUUGGUGAGGUAAUGGCUCACCAAGGCGACGACGGGUAGCCGGCCUGAGAGGGUGACCGGCCACACUGGGACUGAGACACGGCCCAGACUCCUACGGGAGGCAGCAGUGGGGAAUAUUGCACAAUGGGCGCAAGCCUGAUGCAGCGACGCCGCGUGAGGGAUGACGGCCUUCGGGUUGUAAACCUCUUUCAGUAGGGAAGAAGCGAAAGUGACGGUACCUGCAGAAGAAGCACCGGCUAACUACGUG
rnacentral:rRNA from 1 species